AUACGGAGGGGGCUAGCGUUGUUCGGAAUUACUGGGCGUAAAGCGCGUGUAGGCGGAUCGUUAAGUCAGGGGUGAAAGCCCGGGGCUCAACCCCGGAACUGCCCUUGAUACUGGCGAUCUAGAGUCCGGAAGAGGUGGGCGGAAUUCCCGGUGUAGAGGUGAAAUUCGUAGAUAUCGGGAGGAACACCAGUGGCGAAGGCGGCUCACUGGUCCGGUACUGGCGCUGAGACGCGAAAGCGUGGGGAGCAAACAGGAUUAGAUACCCUAGUAGUCC
rnacentral:rRNA from 1 species